rnacentral:lncRNA from 10 species
CCCAAAUGACUUCAUCUUAACUUCACAGUAAUAUCUGCAACAACCUUAUUUCCAAAUGUCACAUUCUGAGGAAGUGGGUGUUAGAAUUUCAACAUACGAAUUUUGGAGUGGAGAACACAAUUUAAUGCAUAACAGCUCUUUUCAUCUCUCAGCAAACUAGGUCUCAGGUCUGAAGUCCACUGCGGUCAGCCUUCCCUGGUGGUGAGCUGCUGUCAGAACCUCCCCACUACUCCUCUGGGUGGCCCCAGUCUUGUGCCUAUUUCCCUCUCGUGGUCAUCAAGUCUCGCCCAGUGGAAAUUGACUUCCUUGUUCUGAGCUGCCCCAUGGAGAGGCCAUGUGGCAAAGAAUUGAGGGUGGCCUCCAGCCAACAGCCAGCAAGGAACUGUGGCCUUCGGUGGGAGGAACAGAAUCCAACUAACAACCAUAUGAGUGAGCUUGGAAGCAGAUGCUUCCCCGGUUGAGACCUGAGAUGACUGUAGACCCAGUUGACACCUUGAUUGCAGCCUAUGAAAGGCCCUAAAGCAGGGGACCCAGCUAAGCCAAGGCCAGGUUCCUGACCCAUAGGAACUGUGAGAUAAUAAAAUUUUUUUUUUGUAAACCACUAA